CACCUGGGGGGAUUGCAGGCUGUGGGGCCCUGCAUGAGCCGGGGAACCCGUGUCCACUCGUUUCUUCCUUUCUAGGGCAUGUCAGCAGCCUUAGAGCGACACGAGAAGGAAAAGAAGGCAGCUUUUCUGUUGAAGAAAACAAAACUCCAAGCAGCUGCCCCGUGGAAAGGCCCCGCCUCUGGGUUCCUCCGCACAGGUGCCCCGGGAUGAAAGGCUGCCUGGCAGAGCCGUCGGGUCUUGGGGCGGGCUGCGUGUGAUCUGACCCCGUGCUGCACAGGUGCCCAGCGCUGCCGGUGCCUGCCAUCCCUCAAGGGGCUGCAGCGAAACCCCAGGCUGUAGGGAGGGGCAGCCCCAGCCUCAGGGUGGAGCAAAAUGGGCUGAGCCAAGGCGAUGUAUGUGCCUCCCACUGUGACCAUGAGAUCGCAGCCUCCAUGGUGUGAGAAAGCCCAGGCCACAUGGACAGGCCACACGAGACACAGGAGGCACUGGGGGAAGUCUUCAGGGGGACUUCAGAGGAAGGUCUCCUCACUUCUGAUAGCUCGAGGAAGAGAUGGUCUCUCUUCUGUCCAGCUGUGAUGCCUGAGAACUUCUGUGGCCAUUUUCCUUCCGGCCAACACGUGGAGUAGGGCGACUCUCAGAAAACCAGAGAGCAGACCCUGACACUUUCCUUGUUAGCUGUGUGGCCUUAGACCAGUUGCUUCACCUCUCUGGUUGUCCUCAGUUACCACACCUUGAAGUGGGAGUACUGGUUCUACUUCAGAGGAUGCAACUGGAGGUUUGUAGCCUGUAUCUGAUCUGCAACUAUGGUCAGCUGACAGAGUGUUUUGCUUUCUUUAAAUAUUGAGUUUGUUCCUGGGUGUAUACAAAUGUCCACACUUACCAAACUGUACACUUCAAAUACUGUACACUUCAGAGUUUAUUGCAUGUCAGUUAUACCUCAAAGAAACUGUCCAAAGUCAAGUUUGCUGACAGUGUUUACAAUCAGAAGAUCUCACCUAAAACUCUGGAUUUCUUGUUUCUCUGAAGAAAAAAAGGAAAUACUGGCAGUGCCCAACCCACAUUCCUCCAGAUGGGGUUUCUGCUUCGGUCCCUGUGGUCCCACCAGCACCUCUUGCUCAGUUACUUUCGCUGCGGCCCUCUGGUGAUGUUCGAGUUUGUGACUCUGACUUGCCUCAUGGGUUCUCACGUUGGUGGCGAGCCUUGGUACUCGGCCUGUCGCCUGCAGCCGUCCUGGGAGCCAAUUAGGAGGGCAGAAUCCUAGGCCUCACCCCGCGCCUCCUGAAUCAAAGCUGCAUUUUCACAAGAUCCUCUGGUGUUCUUUGCACACUCAAGUUCAGAAACCACUGGCUCUGAAGAUUAGAAACGAUGUCUGAAAGUCGCCUGGCUCAGCCGCUAAGGACGAACUGUGGCUGUGUCAUUUAA